rnacentral:lncRNA from 1 species
CACAGGACUUAUAUAAUAUAUAUAUUACGUAAUAAUAACGGAUAUAGUAAAUUCAGUAGAAUAUAACCUGUAUCAACGCACUGACUUGUUAAAUGUAUUUUGAACUGACAAUUGUUAAUCAUAUUUUUAGUUAUUUUAAAAUUAAGAAUGAAAAUCGGGAAUAUGUCAAAGAGACAACAACCCGAAAAGAACAGUUGACAGCCGAAGGCCACCAG